CCUACGGGUGGCAGCAGUGGGGGAUAUUGCACAAUGGGGGGAACCCUGAAGCAGCGACGCCGCGUGAGCGAUGAAGUAUUUCGGUAUGUAAAGCUCUAUCAGCAGGGAAGAAAAUGACGGUACCUGACUAAUAAGCACCGGCUAACUACGUGCCAGCAGCCGCGGUAAUACGUAGGGGGCAAGCGUUAUCCGGAUUUACUGGGUGUAAAGGGAGCGUAGACGGGAGUGCAAGUCUGAAGUGAAAGGCAAGGGCUCAACCUGUGGACUGCUUUGGAAACUGUUCUGCUGGAGUGUCGGAGAGGCAAGUGGAAUUCCUAGUGUAGAGGUGAAAUGCGUAGAUAUUAGGAGGAACACUAGUGGCGAAGGCGGCUUGCUGGACGAUGACUGACGUUGAGGCGCGAAAGCGUGGGGAGCAAACAGGAUUAGAUACCCUUGUAGUC
rnacentral:rRNA from 1 species